UACGGGGGGGGGGCAAGCGUUUGUUCGGAAUUACUGGGCGUAAAGGGCUCGUAGGUGGCCAACUAAGUCAGACGUGAAAUCCCUCGGCUUAACCGGGGAACUGCGUCUGAUACUGGAUGGCUUGAGAUUGGGAGAGGGAUGCGGAAUUCCAGGUGUAGCGGUGAAAUGCGUAGAUAUCUGGAGGAACACCGGUGGCGAAGGCGGCAUCCUGGACCAACACUGACACUGAGGAGCGAAAGCCAGGGGGAGCAAACGGG
rnacentral:rRNA from 1 species